AUUAAACGCUGGCGGCAUGCCUUACACAUGCAAGUCGAACGGCAGCACGGGGGCAACCCUGGUGGCGAGUGGCGGACGGGUGAGUAAAGCAUCGGAACGUAUCCUGGAGUGGGGGAUAACGUAGCGAAAGUUACGCUAAUACCGCAUAUUCUGUGAGCAGGAAAGCAGGGGAUCGCAAGACCUUGCGCUCUGGGAGCGGCCGAUGUCGGAUUAGCUAGUUGGUGGGGUAAAGGCCUACCAAGACGACGAUCCGUAGCGGGUCUGAGAGGAUGAUCCGCCACACUGGGACUGAGACACGGCCCAGACUCCUACGGGAGGCAGCAGUGGGGAAUUUUGGACAAUGGGCGCAAGCCUGAUCCGGCCAUGCCGCGUGAUAGAUGAAGGCCCUCUGGGUUGUAAAUAUCUUUUAUCUGGGAAGAAACAAUCUUAUUCUUAAGAUCUUGACGGUACCAGAGGAAUAAGCACCGGCUAACUCCGUGCCAGCAGCCGCGGUAA
rnacentral:rRNA from 1 species